GACGAACGCUGGCGGCGUGCCUAACACAUGCAAGUCGAGCGAUGAAACCCUUCGGGGUGGAUUAGCGGCGGACGGGUGAGUAACACGUGGGUAACCUACCUCAAAGAGGGGGAUAGCCUCCCGAAAGGGAGAUUAAUACCGCAUAACAUUAGUUUUUCGCAUGGAGAACUAAUUAAAGGAGUAAUCCGCUUUGAGAUGGACCCGCGGCGCAUUAGCUAGUUGGUGAGGUAAAGGCUCACCAAGGCGACGAUGCGUAGCCGACCUGAGAGGGUGACCGACCACAUUGGAACUGCUACACGGUCCAGACUCCUACGGGAGGCAGCAGUGGGGAAUAUUGCACAAUGGGCGAAAGCCUGAUGCAGCAACGCCGCGUGAGUGAUGAAGGCCUUCGGGUUGUAAAGCUCUGUCUUGUGGGACGAUAAUGACGGUACCAAAGGAGGAAGCCACGGCUAACUACGUGCCAGCCGCCGCGGUAAUAC
rnacentral:rRNA from 1 species